AUUAUUUAUAUUUAAAUUUAUUUAUUUUUGUUAUAUUAUUUUAUUUAAAAUAUAUUUUAUUUUGGUUUAUUAUUUUUUAGAAUAUCUUUUAUUUAUUGUUUAUGUACUGUAAAGGAAUAUUAUAUUUUAUUUUUUUAGGAUUAAGUUAUUUAAGUACCUUUUGUAUCAGGGAAUAAUUAAUAAUUUUAAUUUUUUUAUGUUUCUCGAAAUAUUUUUGAUCUAAUUUAAAAUUAAUUUGUUGUUUCAUAAAAUUAUUUUAUUUUAAUUUAGGGGUGAUAUUCUAUUCGUAAUUUAUGAUAUCUAGUUUUUUUUAUUUAAUUUAUUUAAUCUUUUAUUUGUAUUUUUAUUAAUUUAAAAGAUUUAUGUAAGGGAUAAUCUUUACAUUAUUUUAUAAUUUUUAUAUUAAUAAUAAAUUUUAUCUUGAUGGUUGUUAUAAUUUUUAUUGUGUAAUUACUUAUUUUAUUUUUUUUGUAAUUUAAUUUUAUUAUAAAAAUUUAUUUAAUUUUUUUUUAUUUUAAUUUAAUGUUAUUAUAAGUAUAUUAUUUAUUAUUAUUUUUUUAUUAAUUUUAUUUUUAUAAAAAUAAAUUGUUUAUUUUUCGUCUGUUUAUUAAAAACAUAGUUUUUUGUUUUUAUAAAAAAUAAUACCUGCUCGGUGAAAAAUUUUAACAGCCGCAGUAAUUUGACUGUGCUAAGGUAGCAUAAUCAUUUGUCUUUUAAUUGAGGACUUGUAUGAAUGGUUUGACGAAAAAAUAAUUGUUUCUUAUAUCAUUAUUGAAUUUUACUUUUAAGUAAAAAGGCUUAAAUUAAUUUAAGGGACGAAAAGACCCUAUUAAGUUUAAUAAAUUUAAUUUUUAUUUUUCGUAAUAAUACUUUUUUUUAUUUGGCUGGGGUGGUAAAAAUAGAAUAUCUUUUUUUAUUUUGUUAAUUUAUUAAUUUAUUUUUUGAUCUUUUGAUUUUAAUUAUUAGAUUAAAUUGCUAUAGGGAUAACAGCAUAAUUUAUUUGGAAAGUUCAAAUUGAUAAAUAAGAUUGUGACCUCGAUGUUGGGUUAAAAUUUUACUUUUUAAUGAAGUAGUUAAAAAAGUAAGUCUGUUCGACUUUUAAAUUUUUACAUGAUCUGAGUUUAGACCGGUGUGAGCCAGGUCAGUUUUUAUCUUUAAUUUUUAUUUAUUUAUUUUUUUAGUACGAAAGGACAUAUAAAAUAGUAAUUUUUAUUUAUUUUUA
rnacentral:rRNA from 1 species